rnacentral:rRNA from 1 species
UACGUAGGGUGCAAGCGUUGUCCGGAAUUAUUGGGCGUAAAGAGCUCGUAGGCGGUCUGUCGCGUCUGCUGUGAAAACUCAGGGCUUAACCCUGAGCUUGCAGUGGGUACGGGCAGACUAGAGUGCGGUAGGGGAGACUGGAAUUCCUGGUGUAGCGGUGAAAUGCGCAGAUAUCUGGAGGAAUACCGGUGGCGAAGGCGGCAUCCUGGACCGACAUUGACGCUGAUGAGCGAAAGCUAGGGGAGCAAACGGG